UACAGAGGGUGCGAGCGUUAAUCGGAAUUACUGGGCGUAAAGCGUGCGUAGACGGUGAUUUAAGUCGGGUGUGAAAGCCCCGGGCUCAACCUGGGAAUUGCAUUCGAGACUGAAUAGCUAGGGUACGGUAGAGGGAAGCGGAAUUUCCGGUGUAGCGGUGAAAUGCGUAGAUAUCGGAAGGAACAUCAGUGGCGAAAGCGGCUUCCUGGACCAGUACCGACGUUCAGGCACGAAAGCGUGGGGAGCAAACAGG
rnacentral:rRNA from 1 species